GACGAACGCUGGCGGCGUGCCUAAUACAUGCAAGUUGAGCGCUGAAGGUUGGUACUUGUACCGACUGGAUGAGCAGCGAACGGGUGAGUAACGCGUGGGGAAUCUGCCUUUGAGCGGGGGACAACAUUUGGAAACGAAUGCUAAUACCGCAUAAAAACUUUAAACACAAGUUUUAAGUUUGAAAGAUGCAAUUGCAUCACUCAAAGAUGAUCCCGCGUUGUAUUAGCUAGUUGGUGAGGUAAGGCUCACCAAGGCGAUGAUACAUAGCCGACCUGAGAGGGUGAUAGGCCACAUUGGGACUGAGACACGGCCCAAACUCCUACGGGAGGCAGCAGUAGGGAAUCUUCGGCAAUGGACGAAAGUCUGACCGAGCAACGCCGCGUGAGUGAAGAAGGUUUUCGGAUCGUAAAACUCUGUUGGUAGAGAAGAACGUUGGUGAGAGUGGAAAGCUCAUCAAGUGACGGUAACUACCCAGAAAGGGACGGCUAACUACGUG
rnacentral:rRNA from 1 species